GACGUAGGGCGCGAGCGUUGUCCGGAUUUAUUGGGCGUAAAGAGCUCGUAGGCGGCUCGUUGCGUCGGCUGUGAAAACCCGCAGCUCAACUGUGGGCUUGCAGCUGAUACGGGCGGGCUUGGAUUCGGUAGGGGAGACUGGAAUUCCUGGUGUAGCGGUGAAAUGCGCAGAUAUCAGGAGGAACACCGGUGGCGAAGGCGGGUCUCUGGGCCGAUAUCGACGCUGAGGAGCGAAAGCGUGGGGAGCGAACAGG
rnacentral:rRNA from 1 species